AUACGGAGGAUGCAAGCGUUAUCCGGAUUUAUUGGGUUUAAAGGGUGCGUAGGCGGUUUGCUAAGCGGGAGGUGAAAUGCCGGCGCUCAACGUCGGAAGUGCCUCCCGAACUGGGGGACUGGAAUGACUCUGCCGUGGGAGGAAUGUGUAGUGUAGCGGUGAAAUGCUUAGAGAUUACACAGAACACCGAUUGCGAAGGCAUCUCACGAAGGGUUGAUUGACGCUGAGGCACGAAAGCGUGGGGAUCAAACAGGAUUAGAUACCCUGGUAGUCCACGCAGUAAACGAUGAUGGCUAACCGCUGGUUUAUUCGGAUCAGUGGCCAAGCGAAAGCGAUAAGCCAUCCACCUGGGGAGUACGACCGCAAGGUUGAAACUCAAAGGAAUUGACGGGG
rnacentral:rRNA from 1 species